rnacentral:misc_RNA from 1 species
GAUGAAGAACGUAGCGAAAUGCGAUACGUAAUGUGAAUUGCAAAUUCAGUGAAUCAUCGAGUCUUUGAACGCACAUUGCGCCCUUUGGCAUUCCGAAGGGCACACCUGUCCGAGCGCCGUCGCACAACUGAGGCGCAGCCUUGCGUUGGCGGGCGACUUGUGAGUAGCGAGUCGCCGCCCAAACGAGACGGCGCCGCGCCGCGGCCGACGAAGCACGAAAGCGGAAGUCGACGCGGAGGCGGUUGCCUGUAGGAAGACACAGCUUGGCCUCGGAUCAGGUGGGGAUACCCGCUGAACUUAAGAAUAUCAAUAAGCGGAGGA